GCAGGUGAUUGGUCUAGACAGUGCAGGUGAUUGGUCUCGACAGAGCAGGUGAUUGGUCUCGACAGUGCAGGUGAUUGGUCUCGACAGAGCAGGUGAUUGGUCUAGACAGUGCAGGUGAUUGGUCUAGACAGUGCAGGUGAUUGGUCUCGACAGAGCAGGUGAUUGGUCUCGACAGAGCAGGUGAUUGGUUUCGACAGAGCAGGUGAUUGGUCUCGACAGAGCAGGUGAUUGGUCUAGACAGAGCAGGUGAUUGGUCUCGACAGAGCAGGUGAUUGGUCUAGACAGAGCAGGUGAUUGGUCUCGACAGAGCAGGUGAUUGGUCUCGACAGAGCAGGUGAUUGGUCUAGACAGUGCAGGUGAUUGGUCUAGACAGUGCAGGUGAUUGGUCUAGACAGAGCAGGUGAUUGGUCUCGACAGUGCAGGUGAUUGGUCUCGACAGAGCAGGUGAUUGGUCUAGACAGUGCAGGUGAUUGGUCUAGACAGUGCAGGUGAUUGGUCUCGACAGAGCAGGUGAUUGGUCUCGACAGUGCAGGUGAUUGGUCUCGACAGAGCAGGUGAUUGGUCUCGACAGUGCAGGUGAUUGGUCUC